rfam:Triticum aestivum genome assembly, contig: Triticum_aestivum_CS42_TGACv1_scaffold_321123_4BL
CAACUACUCCCUCCGUCCUAAAAUUCUUGUCUUAAAUUUGUCUAGAUACGAAUAUACCUACUGUAUCUAGACAAAUCUAAGACAAGAAUUUUGUGACGGAAGGAGUAUUUA